CGGCACGGGUGAGUAACACGUAUCCAACCUGCCGUCUACUCUUGGACAGCCUUCUGAAAGGAAGAUUAAUACAAGAUGGCAUCAUGAGUCCGCAUGUUCACAUGAUUAAAGGUAUUCCGGUAGACGAUGGGGAUGCGUUCCAUUAGAUAGUAGGCGGGGUAACGGCCCACCUAGUCUUCGAUGGAUAAGGGUUCUGAGAGGAAGGUCCCCCACAUUGGAACUGAGACACGGUCCAA
rnacentral:rRNA from 1 species